rnacentral:lncRNA from 1 species
GAUUCAUCUCUUGGAGCCUUUGAUUCAGGAGGUCCUCUCAACUGUGAGUCUCGAGGGUCUUCUGGCAGAAUGGAGGUAGAGAUCCUCCGAGGGUGGAAUCGUGAUUAGACUGAGGGCUCUCCACCCUCGAAUUCCUCUUUUCGGGGAAGACAGGGUGACUGGCCCAAGUGGCCCACCCUACUGUCGAAUUUUGAAACUUCGGUGAUGCUCUUUCCAACCGCACUGAUGCCUGCGGUUGU